AACAUGACCAAAAUGGUCAGUUGACCACUUUAGGAGUUAUUGCCCUUUAUAGUCAAUUUUUAACAAUUUUUCUUAAAUCUUAGUAAUCUUUUAGAAAAAUCUUCUCCUCUGAAACUACUGGGCCAAAUUUAACCAAACUUGGCCAUAAUCAUCAUUGGCGUAUCUAGUUAAAAAAAUGUGUCCGGUGACCCGGCCAACCAACCAAGAUGGCCGCCAUGGCUAAAAAUAGAACAUAGGGGUAAAAUGCAGUUUUUGGCUUAUAACUCAAAAACCAAAGCAUUUAGAGCAAAUCUGGCAUGGGGUAAAAUUGUUUAUCAGGUCAAGAUGUAUCUGCCCUGAAAUUUUCAGAUGAAUCAAACAACCCGUUGUUGGGUU
rnacentral:lncRNA from 1 species